rnacentral:rRNA from 1 species
AUUGAACGCUGGCGGCAGGCCUAACACAUGCAAGUCGAGCGAGCGGCGGACGGGUGAGUAAUGUAUGGGGACUGCCCGAUAGAGGGGGAUAACUACUGGAAACGGUAGCUAAUACCGCAUACUAUCGGAUAACCCAUAUGGGAUUAGCUAGUAGGUGAGGUAAUGGCGUACCUAGGCGACGAUCCCUAGCUGGGUUGAGAGGAUGACCAGCCACACUGGUACUGAGACACGGCCCAGACUCCUACGGAGGCAGCAGUGGGGAAUUUUGGACAAUGGGGGAAAGCCUGAUGCAGCCAUCCCGCGUGUAUGAUGAAGGCCUUAGGGUUGUAAAGUACUUUCAGCCGGGAGGCGUUAUCUGCAGAAUAAGCACCGGCUAACUACGUGCCAGCAGCCGCGGUAAUUC